GAGUCAAGUAAAGUACAACACAGGACUUACGGGGUGGGGCGCGCCAAAGCAACCCGGGACCCACGGAGGGGUCACUGGGGAAGUGCUUUCUGCGCGGGUGCGUGGGAAGCACUUCAUUCUUCAAUUUAUUCCCCCCUUUGAGGGGGGGUAACUCCGGAGUGAAAGAGGUAAGGGAGAAGGCGUUGGUGACAAAGCCAUCUCGUCCGUCAAUUAACGAUGAAUAAGCCGUCACUCACUAGAAGGGCGAGGCAAUCCUUCCAUCUCCAAUCAUGUGGGGGAUGUAAAGACCAAAGUCAAAGUACUGACCCAAACGGGGUAUGGAUAUACAUAGAGGAAGCUAGCAGCACGUUAGAAAUCCACUUUUCUAAAUAGCUACCCGCCGAAAGGAAUACAAACAAGCAUUGAACCGUAAAGUGGUUCGACUGACGGGGAAUAAGGAGACAUUCAUCUGUAUUGUUAGAACAGAUCAACGGAAGCAUAUCGUGCCACCGGGGGUGACGGGAGCGCGCCGUACUGUAUGAAGGAAGGCAAGAUAGCUACCAAUGC
rnacentral:lncRNA from 1 species